AAAAUUUUAGUUUAUAAAUAAAAUAUUUUUUUUACAAAAAAAUGAUAAUUAUUAUUAAUUAAAUUUUA
rnacentral:tRNA from 1 species